rnacentral:rRNA from 1 species
CCGAACCCGGAAGUUAAGCCCUCCAGCGCCGAUGGUACUGCACCGGGGACGGUGUGGGAGAGUAGGACACCGCCGGAC